rnacentral:rRNA from 1 species
GACGAACGCUGGCGGCGUGCUUAACACAUGCAAGUCGAACGAAGAGCGAUGGAAGCUUGCUUCUAUCAAUCUUAGUGGCGCACGGGUGAGUAACGCGUAAUCAACCUGCCCUUCAGAGGGGGACAACAGUUGGAAACGACUGCUAAUACCGCAUACGAUCUAAUCUCGGCAUCGAGGAUAGAUGAAAGGUGGCCUCUACAUGUAAGCUAUCACUGAAGGAGGGGAUUGCGUCUGAUUAGCUAGUUGGAGGGGUAACGGCCCACCAAGGCGAUGAUCAGUAGCCGGUCUGAGAGGAUGAACGGCCACAUUGGGACUGAGACACGGCCCAGACUCCUACGGGAGGCAGCAGGGGGGAAUCUUCCGCAAUGGACGAAAGUCUGACGGAGCAACGCCGCGUGAGUGAUGACGGCCUUCGGGUUGUAAAGCUCUGUUAAUCGGGACGAAAGGCCUUCUUGCGAAUAGUGAGAAGGAUUGACGGUACCGGAAUAGAAAGCCACGGCUAACUACGUG